rnacentral:rRNA from 1 species
UACGUAGGGACCAAGCGUUGUUCGGAUUUACUGGGCGUAAAGGGCGCGUAGGCGGCGUGACAAGUCACUUGUGGAAUCUCUGGGCUUAACCCAGAACGGCCAAGUGAAACUGUUGUGCUAGAGUGCAGAAGGGGCAAUCGGAAUUCUCGGUGUAGCGGUGAAAUGCGUAGAUAUCGAGAGGAACACCAGAGGUGAAGACGGGUUGCUGGGCUGACACUGACGCUGAGGCGCGAAAGCCAGGGGAGCGAACGGG